rnacentral:rRNA from 1 species
AAGGUUAAUCCAUCAGGGUUAGUCGGAGCCUAAGGUGAGGCCGAGAGGCGUAGCUGAUGGACACACGGUUAAUAUUCCGUGACCUCCUAAGGAGAUAUCGAUGCGGGGACGCAGCGCGAAAGCCCUUCUGCGCAAUGGUUUCAAAGAAGGGGCAAGCGAGGACCGGAUAGGCAAAUCCGCCGGUUCGUCUGCCAGGAAAAGCCGCUAAGAGCCAAAGGAGUCCGUACCACAAACCGACACAGGUAGACGUGAUGAGUAUUCUCAGGCGCUCGGGUGAUUAGUUGUUAAGGAACUAGGCAAAUUAACCCCGUAACUUCGGGAGAAGGG